rnacentral:rRNA from 1 species
AACGAACGCUGGCGGCAUGCCUAACACAUGCAAGUCGAACGAUUGCCUUCGGGUGAUAGUGGCGCACGGGUGCGUAACGCGUGGGAAUCUGCCCUUAGGUUCGGAAUAACAGCUGGAAACGGCUGCUAAUACCGGAUGAUAUCGCGAGAUCAAAGAUUUAUCGCCUGAGGAUGAGCCCGCGUUGGAUUAGGUAGUUGGUGGGGUAAAGGCCUACCAAGCCGACGAUCCAUAGCUGGUCUGAGAGGAUGAUCAGCCACACUGGGACUGAGACACGGCCCAGACUCCUGCGGGAGGCAGCAGUGGGGAAUAUUGGACAAUGGGCGCAAGCCUGAUCCAGCAAUGCCGCGUGAGUGAUGAAGGCCCUAGGGUUGUAAAGCUCUUUUACCCGGGAAGAUAAUGACUGUACCGGGAGAAUAAGCCCCGGCUAACUCCGUG